UACGGAGGGGGCUAGCGUUGUUCGGAAUUACUGGGCGUAAAGCGCACGUAGGCGGCUUUGUAAGUUAGAGGUGAAAGCCCAGGGCUUAACCCUGGAAUUGCCUUUAAGACUGCAUCGCUAGAAUCGUGGAGAGGUGAGUGGAAUUCCGAGUGUAGAGGUGAAAUUCGUAGAUAUUCGGAAGAACACCAGUGGCGAAGGCAGCAGAUUGGGCCGGUAUUGACGCUCAGGCACGAAAGCAUGGGGAUCAAACAGG
rnacentral:rRNA from 1 species